rnacentral:snoRNA from 1 species
CUCAGCUGUAGUCACCUGCCUGGCUUGCCUUGCAACUAGGCAAGUGUUACACUGCUGGGAGAGAAGCAGCCAGGAGCUUGAAGGCAUU